rnacentral:rRNA from 1 species
UACGAAGGGGGCUAGCGUUGCUCGGAAUCACUGGGCGUAAAGCGCACGUAGGCGGAUUGCUAAGUCAGGGGUGAAAUCCUGGAGCUCAACUCCAGAACUGCCUUUGAUACUGGCAACCUUGAGUCCGGGAGAGGUGAGUGGAACUGCGAGUGUAGAGGUGAAAUUCGUAGAUAUUCGCAAGAACACCAGUGGCGAAGGCGGCUCACUGGCCCGAUACUGACGCUGAGGUGCGAAAGCGUGGGGAGCAAACAGG